rnacentral:rRNA from 1 species
AACGAACGCUGGCGGCGUGCCUAACACAUGCAAGUCAAGGGGGGCUGGUCCUUCGGGAUCAGUCAACCGGCGCACGGGUGAGUAACACGUGGAUAAUCUGCCUUCAGGCGGGGGAUAGCCCCGGGAAACCGGGAUUAAUACCGCAUGGCAAUCGGGGGCGAAAGCUUUCCGGAUUAAAGAUGGGGAUCCUUCGGGACCUAUCGCCGGGAUAUGAGUCCGCGCCCAAGUAGCUAGUUGGUAGGGUAAAAGCCUACCAAGGCCGAGGUGCAUAGCCGACCUGAGGGGGUGAUCGGCCACACUGGGACUGAGACACGGCCCAGACUCCUACGGGAGGCAGCAGUAGGGAAUCUUCCGCAAUGGACGAAAGUCUGACGGAGCAACGCCGCGUGAGUGAUGAAGGCUUUCGGGUCGUAAAACUCUGUUGUUAGGGAAGAACAAGUACGAGAGUAACUGCUCGUACCUUGACGGUACCUAACCAGAAAGCCACGGCUAACUACGUGCCAGCCGCCGCCGUAACAC